rfam:Hordeum vulgare subsp. vulgare, WGS project CAJW01000000 data, contig: morex_contig_81278
UUAAUACUCCCUCUGUCCCAAAAUUCUUGUCUUAAAUUUGUCUAGAUAUGAAUGUAUCUAGUCACUUUUUAGUAUCAAGAUACAUCCAUUUUUAGAUAAAUUUAAGACAAAAAAUUUGGGAUGGAGGGAGUAAUAC